rnacentral:tRNA from 1 species
GUGGUGGCUCAGUGGUAGAGUGCUUACCUAGCAUGUGUGAGGCACUGGGUUCAAUUCACAGCACCACA